GAUGAAGAACGUAGCGAAAUGCGAUAAGUAAUGCGAAUUGCAGAAUUUCCGUGAGUCAUCGAAUCUUUGAACGCACAUUGCGCCCACUGGUAUUCCGGUGGGCAUGCCUGUUCGAGCGUCAUUAUCCUCCCUCAAACCCCGGGUUUGGUGUUGGACCCAAGUUGUGUGAACAACUGGUCUCAAAGACAAUGACGGCGUCCGUGGGACCCUCGGUGCAACGAGCUUUUAGGAGCACGCAUCGAGUUGCAAGGACCUUCCGGGCCGGUCUCCUUUACCAUUUUACAAGGUUGACCUCGGAUCAGGUAGGAAUACCCGCUGAACUUAAGCAUAUCAAAAGCGGAGGA
rnacentral:misc_RNA from 1 species